rnacentral:rRNA from 1 species
UGGGGAAUAUUGGACAAUGGGCGCAAGCCUGAUCCAGCAAUGCCGCGUGAGUGAAGAAGGCCUUCGGGUUGUAAAGCUCUUUUGUCAGGGAAGAAACGGUGAGAGCUAAUAUCUCUUGCUAAUGACGGUACCUGAAGAAUAAGCACCGGCUAACUACGUGCCAGCAGCCGCGGUAAUACGUAGGGUGCAAGCGUUAAUCGGAAUUACUGGGCGUAAAGCGUGCGCAGGCGGUUUUGUAAGUCUGAUGUGAAAUCCCCGGGCUCAACCUGGGAAUUGCAUUGGAGACUGCAAGGCUAGAAUCUGGCAGAGGGGGGUAGAAUUCCACGUGUAGCAGUGAAAUGCGUAGAUAUGUGGAGGAACACCGAUGGCGAAGGCAGCCCCCUGGGUCAAGAUUGACGCUCAUGCACGAAAGCGUGGGGAGCAAACAGGAUUAGAUACCCGUGUAGUCCCUGAGCGGGCUGGCAAGGCGCAU